rnacentral:rRNA from 1 species
UGGGGAAUAUUGCACAAUGGAGGGAACUCUGAUGCAGCGACGCCGCGUGUACUAAUAAGCACUUCGGGUCGUACAGCUCUUUUAUCUGGAAAGAUAAUGACGGCACCAUAAGAAAAAGCCCCGGCUAACUACGUGCCAGCAGCCGCGGUAAUACGUAGGGGGCUAUAGUUGUCCGGCAUCACUGGGCGUAAAGGGUUCGCAGGCGGAAAUGCAAGUCAGGUGUAAAAGGCAGUAGCUUAACUACUGUAAGCAUUUGAAACUGCAUAUCUUGAGAAGAGUAGAGGUAAGUGGAAUUUUUAGUGUAGCGGUGAAAUGCGUAGAUAUUAAAAAGAAUACCGGUGGCGAAGGCGACUUACUGGGCUCAUUCUGACGCUGAGGAACGAAAGCGUGGGUAGCAAACAGG